rnacentral:tRNA from 1 species
GGGCGAGUGGCGGAAUUUGGCAGACGCGCAGGAUUCAGGUUCCUGUGUCCGAAAGGACGUGAGGGUUCAAGUCCCUCCUCGCCCACCA